AUGAUAAAGGGUAAGAUCAAAAGUGCAGAAGGACAACAUUGUUUGCCUGCCCUUACAGUCCCUGUGGAUUGUAAUCAUUUGCUCCUUUGUAGCUCUCCCCACUCCAAAAGUGUGGUGGCCCAGGCUACAAUCGUCUCUUGCUGGGAUCACUUUAAUAAUUCCCAAGUGCUCCCCUUAACCCCGCCUUUGCUCCUCUUUAGAAUAAUCACAACCAGCAGCCAGAGUGAACCUUGCAGUGCCAAUCAUUUGAUGCUAAUCUUUGGAUCAAAGCCUCCCCUUUCUUCCAGGUACAAUUGUACUCUCCGUGGAGGACAUUGAGAAAGUGCCAUGAUCGCUGAAUUCAGCCUAUGAUGUCAUUCCCUGUCAACACUGACAUGAACAAUCAUCAUGAACUAACAGGAACAUCUCAGAGAAAAUAUUUUUGACUGUCCUAAAUCAGAAGACACUGGUGCAUUCAAUAAUUCCUCCACAUCAGACACCUCACUCCAAGUCGGCUAUAAAGGUAAGCUGAUUCUAAAAACAUAAAUAGGAGUUAGAGGAUCUCUUAAAGAACUGUUCCUUUUAUCCUGACAAUAACCACAAACACAAUAAUAUAGCCUUCCCUUCAGUUUUUAGUCACGGCUGUGACAGGCAUACAGUCUGCAUUAUAUUUAGAUAAAUGUUACCUUUC
rnacentral:lncRNA from 1 species